ACGCUCCGUUUCCUCUCUGCUUUGUGGGAACGGGAAGCAGCAGCAUUGUGUUGGAGCUGACUAUGGUUUAAUCAUUAAUGAGAACUAACAGUAUGGACAGGACAGGCAUGGCCCACCGCCUGGGACACACACAGGACGGUGUGUUGCAGGCCGAGGAGAGCUGGAGCGGCUAACCUCACCAAAUUACCGAAGACCCGGGACCGGAAAAGGGAGACUGGAAACUGCCGCAGGAGAAACGGGGAAUGCGUCCGGUUAGAAGAAGUAAUGGCACCAGAGUGUUUCGGAGGAGCGCACCGGGGGCUGCCCAAAGGCUCACCGUCAAGCACCGCCGCCGAGCCGCAGCCCCGGUCCUGGCUGGAUGUCAGCUCGUCCACCGCUCCUGGAGCUACACAACCCAAAGACAGGGAACAGACGUGACCUGGUGAACCAGCAUGAGAGAAGAGCAGUCCCUUACACUUCACCGUCUGGGUCAUGAAUGAACAUAUUACAAUGUUUACAUCUGAUAUUGUUGUAUUUUUAGUUGUUAAAUGUGUGUUUCAGCUGCCUCGAGACUAUAAACUUAAUACUCAAUAUUUUAGACAACAUACCAAGUAUAUGUAGUUUCCUGUGUGUGAUGAAUCGGUGUAGAAUUUUACUGUCAUAAAUGUGCAUGUUUGAUAUAUGAUUAAUACAUGGCCUUACAAAUGAAUAAUCAUUUAA